rnacentral:rRNA from 1 species
CGCAUCUGUGCAUGCAGCAUAUCAAUAAGCGGAGGAAAAGAAACUAACAAGGAUUCCCCUAGUAACGGCGAGUGAAGCGGGAAGAGCUCAAAUUUGAAAUCUUAAAGGGUUUCCCUUUACGAAUUGUAGUUUAAAGAAGUGUUUUCUGUUGAGGUUUUGGUAAAAGUUCUUUGGAAUAGGACAUCAUAGAGGGUGAGAAUCCCGUAUUUGACCUUUACUUUCAACUUUGUGAUACACUUUCAAAGAGUCGGAUUGUUUGGGAAUGCAGUCCAAACUGGGUGGUAAAUUUCAUCUAAGCUAAAUAUUGGCGAGAGACCGAUAGCGAACAAGUACCGUGAGGGAAAGAUGAAAAGAACUUUGAAAAGAGAGUUAAACAGUACGUGAAAUUGUCAAAAGGGAAGCGUUUGACACCAUGUGUUGUCUUUCUGAAAAUCAAUUAAAGAACUGUUUAUGCUAAGUUGUUUAGACUUUAUCAGCUAACUGUUUAGUUUUGAGCUUUUCUUUAAUGCACUUUUCAGUUAACAAGUCAACAUCAAUUUCUUUUGCUGUAAAAAAGCUUGAGGAAGGUGGCUUGAGAUUCGUCUUAAGUGUUUAUAGCCUCUUGCCUAUGCAGUCGGAGAGAUUGAGGUCUGCAGCGUAGAUCCUUCGGGGCUAAAUGCAUUUGUGCUAAGUUAUAGCAUUUUAUAGACAACUUGUUGACUAUGAUUUGUCUUGUAGCUUACUCGCUUAUGUUAUUUUACCUACGCUUAGGAUGUUGACAGCAGUAUAGACUGU